rnacentral:pre_miRNA from 1 species
GUGUUGAGGCUACGCAGCCAGGAGCUGACGGUUGGGUGGCUGCGGGCCUUCUGUAGGUCCCCCACAUUCUGGCCCAGCAGCGUGGUCACAUUGC